rnacentral:rRNA from 1 species
AUUGAACGCUGGCGGCAUGCCUUACACAUGCAAGUCGAACGGCAGCACGGGUGCUUGCACCUGGUGGCGAGUGGCGAACGGGUGAGUAAUACAUCGGAACAUGUCCUGUAGUGGGGGAUAGCCCGGCGAAAGCCGGAUUAAUACCGCAUACGAUCUACGGAUGAAAGCGGGGGACCUUCGGGCCUCGCGCUGUAGGGUUGGCCGAUGGCUGAUUUGCUCGUUGGUGGGGUAAAGGCCUACCAAGGCGACGAUCAGUAUCUGGUCUGAGAGGGCGACCAGCCACACUGGGACUGAGACACGGCCCAGACUCCUACGGGAGGCAGCAGUGGGGAAUUUUGGACAAUGGGCGAAAGCCUGAUCCAGCAAUGCCGCGUGUGUGAAGAAGGCCUUCGGGUUGUAAAGCACUUUUGUCCGGAAAGAAAUCCUUGGCCCUAAUACGGUCGGGGGAUGACGGUACCGGAAGAAUAAGCACCGGCUAACUACGUG